rnacentral:misc_RNA from 1 species
UCCGACUUAACGUCGGCGGUCCUUUUAGAGUGCCCAACUAAAUGCUGGCAACUAAAAGCAAGGGUUGCGCUCGUUGCGGGACUUAACCCAACAUCUCACGACACGAGCUGACGACAGCCAUGCAGCACCUGUUUAGAGACCCGAAGGCUGUCCUAUCUCUAGGACAUUCCUCUAAAUGUCAAACCCAGGUAAGGUUUUUCGCGUUGCAUCGAAUUAAACCACAUGCUCCACUGCUUGUGCGGGCCCCCGUCAAUUUCUUUGAGUUUUAAUCUUGCGACCGUACUUCCCAGGCGGGGCACUUACCGCGUUAGCUACGGCACUGAAGGGGUCAAUACCUCCAACACCAAGUGCCCAUCGUUUACAGCAUGGACUAC